rnacentral:lncRNA from 1 species
GCAACAGGAAUGCUCCCAAACUACUAUUUACCCUCCUGCACUGAAAAGGCUGGACAACCACGGGACCUAAAUUGUCACAGAAGUAGAGCUUUCAGGAUUCAGGAGCCUGACUCGGUAACCCUGGCUCCCAAGCAAGUUCAGGAAGCCCGGUGCUUGUACAGCGCUGACAUAAACGCAUGGCAGGUGAGCAGCUCUGUGACGUGCCUUGCAAUUCUGCUGCAUGAGAGCCGGUGCCCAUGCGACCGAGGGACAGCACAGCUGCACAGAGGCAGACACAGCGGGCAGGAGAGGGGAACCAACUGCAGUGCCGUGAGCCCAGUCUGUAAGAUUUCAGAUAGCCAGCUAGAGCCAUGUCUUGGAAGGGC